rnacentral:ncRNA from 1 species
AAGAACGCGAUGACCGGAAUCAGUACGCAGCCAGUCAGUCUUCAGAGACGGUCCGUUUGGUGAAAGGACCGGGCUGACCCUGCCGAAACACCUCCGCCAGCGGCCGUCACCAACGGAGCCCUCACAGUUUGGCGGGCCCUCAGUAGUGGCGGACGGCAGUCCCCGUUACCGGACCGGAGUGUCAGCAGGCACUCUUCAAGGCGGCUUUCGCGAGAAAGCCGUGAACAGAGGUGGGACCACGGAACGAGCUUCCGUCCUUUGC